CACUGUCACCAUCAUGGCAGUCAUUGCUGUUCUGGUUGUCCUUGGAGUUGUGGUCAUCAUUGGAGCUGUGGUGGCUGUUAUGAGGAAGUGGAGGAGAAACACAGGUGGAAAAGGAGGGGACUAUGCUCCAGCUCCAGGGAGGGACAGCACCCAGAGCUCUGAUUUGUCUCUCCCAGAUUGUAAAGCAUGAAGACAGCUGCCUGAGUGGACAGUGACAGAUGAUGUUUUCAGGUCUCUCCUCUGAAGUCUUGAGUCCUCAGUUCCCUUUAGUCAAUGGCAUCUUAAGUUCCCUGUGAUUCUGUGGGCUCAGUGUGAAGAACUGGACGUCCAGCCCAGCCCUGCACACCACCACCCUCUCCCUGCUCUGCCCUGUGUUCCCUUCCACAGCCAACCUUCCUGGUCCAGCCAGGCAGGAGGGGACAUCUCCAUCCUGUCAGCUCCCUGCUGCCCUGAGCUGCAGCUCCUCACUUCCCCACUGAAAAUAAAAAUGCAAAUGUGAA